rnacentral:rRNA from 1 species
AAUAGCCUAACGGCUGAACCAGCAAUUAGGAAGAAUGUUAGCGAUAGCUAAUUGUAUAACAUGUUAUACAAUAUUGACUAAAUUGAAUAAAAUUCUGAGUAAAUCUAGAUAGUGACUUAGUUUACUCACGUGUCUUGACCAAAAUGCGUGCCAGCAGUCGCGGUAAAACGUAUAAGACUAGUGUUAUUCAUCUUUAACAGGUAUAAAGCGUAAUUAGACGGCAAAUCAAGCUGUAGUAAGAACUAGUUUGCUAGAGUUGUUUGUGAAGGGGCUUGAAAGUACUAAUGGAGUAGAGAUAAAAUGCUAAUAUACCUUUUUUCGAUAGAAAUAUUACGGCACUGGUAAAGGCGAAAGCAUCCUCUUAUAAGAUAACUGACGUUAAAGGACGAAGGCUUAGAGUAUCGAAUAGGAUUAGAUACCCUAGUAGUCUAAGCAGAAAAUGAUGAGUGUCAUAGAUUAGAAUAAGUAUAAUAUAAUAAACGAAAUUAAAAAUUAGAAAUUUAGUCUAUAAAUGAAAAUGUAAGCACUCCACCUUAAGACUAAUGUGGCAACACCCAAAUUGAAAUCAUUAGACCGUUUCUGAGNNNNNNNNNNNNNNNNNNNNNNUAAUUUGAUGACCCGCAAAAAACCUUACCACAACUUGAAUAAAUUUUUUAUAGUUUUGUACAAGCGCUGCACGGCUGUCUUAAGUUGAUUUUCUGAAAAUUUGGUUAGAUCCAUUUAAUUGACGUAAACCCUCCUUUUACUUUUAUGUAAAACGGUUCACCAUUAUAUAGGUUAAGAUAAGAGGGAAGAAGACAAGUCAUCAUG